AACCUAGCACACCUGCGGUGUGUACCUGCGGAGGGAUCAUUACCGAGUUUACAACUCCCAAACCCCUGUGAACAUACCACUUGUUGCCUCGGCGGAUCAGCCCGCUCCCGGUAAAACGGGACGGCCCGCCAGAGGACCCCUAAACUCUGUUUCUAUAUGUAACUUCUGAGUAAAACCAUAAAUAAAUCAAAACUUUCAACAACGGAUCU
rnacentral:misc_RNA from 1 species